CGGAGUGGGGAGCGGUGACAGGCGCGGUGACAGGCGCGGUGACAGCUUUUCUUCUGCUCAGCAAACUCACCGUGCAGUGAAGGACUCCCAGGGACAUUGCACCUCUGAGGAAACCUUUUUGCUGGAGGAGACAUCGGGGUGUUGAUCUCUGCCAGUGUAGCAGGAGCAAAAGUGAAAACAUCUCUUACGACAGCAUUUGAUUGCCAGCUGAAAAGAAGCGAAGUGCCUGUCAGUGACAUCAAACCCAGGCGGCCUCUGACUGCUAAUACAGGGAGCUUCACUGAUGGUUUCAGAGCAGAUGGGCUAUUGCAUUCCCAAAUUCUUUAGGCCAGAAGAGAAAUGCCACUGAGCUGAGCACUUUACCAAGCUGUGCUCUGACGGUUCUGUCCGUGAAUUCCCGACAACCAACUCCUUUUACCCCACAUCCAGCCACAGCUGCUGGCUGGAGGAAAAGGUUUUGAAAACCACUUCUUGGCAUCAGCAGUGCCACUGGUCCUGUGUGUGGAUGCUCCAUGGCACUUGAACACUGCCUGGCACCACAAGCAGCCUCGGUGCUCUAGGGGAAAGAUAUGUCUGCAUCUCCCUGAGAGAUUAAUCCAUGUCACAACACCCCUGAAUUUUCCAGGGAGUCCAGUUAGGUGAAACUCCCACCCCCUGCACCAAAAUCUGCCAGGUUGAGCACACCUAUUCCCAACAGCAGCCACUUCCAAUGCCACCUCUUGUUUGCUCGCAGCCAUUUCUGCCCUUUUAUCACACUUCUCGGUAAAUGAAGACACAGCUGCAGGAGCCAAGCGGUGUGGCACCUGUCCCUAAAGCCAUCUGUGCAGGCAGGGAGUUACAUGCAGGGGGCAUCUGGCAGGCAGCAAGAGGUGGUAUUUUUGGUGGAAAGCAGGAUGGGUUGGAACAAAUGAAUGUAGUAAGGCCAAA
rnacentral:lncRNA from 1 species